GACGAACGCUGGCGGCGUGCUUAACACAUGCAAGUCGAACGGAAAGGCCUUUUCGGAGGUACUCGAGUGGCGAACGGGUGCGUAACACGUGGGUGAUCUGCCCUGCACUCUGGGAUAAGCCUGGGAAACUGGGUCUAAUACCGGAUAGGACCGCACUUUAGUGUGUGUGGUGGAAAGUUUUUUCGGGGUAGGAUGAGCCCGCGGCCUAUCAGCUUGUUGGGGGGGUAAUGGCCUACCAAGGCGGCGACGGGUAGCCGGACUGAGAGGUUGGUCGGCCACAUUGGGACUGAGAGACGGCCCAGACUCCUACGGGAGGCAGCAGGGGGGAAGAUUGCACAAGGGGCGCAAGCCUGAUGCAGCGACGCCGCGUGGGGGAGGACGGCCUUCGGGUGGUAAACUCCUUUCGCCAGGGACGAAGCGUUUUGUGACGGUACCUGGAGAAGAAGCACCGGCUAACUACGUG
rnacentral:rRNA from 1 species